UCACCUGAGGACCUUGGGAGAACGCAGGUCCAUUGUAAGGCCUGAGAUUCUGCGUUUCUGACAAGUUCCCAGAUGCUG
rnacentral:pre_miRNA from 1 species